GCGAAGCAUCUCUGAUUUCUUAAGUUUUUUCAUGGCAUAUACAUGGCCUGUUGUCUUUUCCCUACAAACUCUAACCUCCCCAAAUGCACCCUUGCCGAUCAUUGUCAAUAAUUCGAAGUCAUCAACACCCAUUUUGUGCCUUUGCAGGCGCAUGUAUUCAGUUUCUUUCUUCUCCAAAAACUUAAGUAAGUUGUUCUGAUCUUCCUCAGAAACAUCAGCAUCAGCCAACUUCUUUUCCAAUAUAGUUCGUCGCUCCUUCCUCUCCUGUAGAUUCUUCAUUUGCUCCUUGUAAUGGUUCUCAAUAUACUGCUUGGCCGCAGCAACUUUCUGCUUGGUGGCAUUGGAAAGAGAUUCCUCAUCUUCUGGAGAUUUGGCCUCAUCUUUACCUUCAUCAAACGUAUCCUUCUUCCUAGAAGAAGUCCUCAGCUUGUCCCGUGGCUGUAACUUCUGUAACCAACUCCUCGCCGAAUCCAUUUGAAACCUCGAAACUAACCACCCUCCUCAGACACUAUCAUCCACCAUAGCCUCCCUCCCUCCCAAUCCCCCAAAAAAACCACAAAUCCGCGGAAUUUGUGCGAGUGAAUGAUCGAUCAAGAAGCAGCGAUUACGGUGAGCGUAGUAGCUAUUUAUGAACGAGAAGGAAAUGGAAUGGAUCGAUGAGGACGAAUGAGAUGUGUUUGGAUGGAGAGAAAAUAUGAAAGAAUAGAAAAUGGAAUAUUUGUUGAUGUCCGCGCGAUUUUCUCUGGUUUUGAAAUGCCAAGUAUGUGGCGCUGCUGG
rnacentral:misc_RNA from 1 species